rnacentral:RNase_P_RNA from 1 species
GAAGCUGGCCAGACGGUCGCUGCGCGCCUUCGGCGCGGAGAGGAAAGUCCGGGCUCCAUAGAGCAGGGUGACGGCUAACGGCCGUACGUACUAGUCGAAGGCUUGCCUUCGGCGAAGACGAGGAAUAGGGCCACAGAGACGAGUCGCCGCUGCGCAAGUAGCGGCGGGUGAAACGCGGUAACCUCCACCCGGAGCAACACCAAAUAGGCGGACGAUGAUGCUGCCCGCUGAGUCCGCGGGUAGGUGGCUGGAGCCCUGGGGUAACCCAGGGCCUAGAGGAAUGACCGUCAUAGGGAGCAAUCCCCGUAACAGAACCCGGCUUAUCGGCCGGCUUCACUU